AGCGAACGCUGGCGGCAGGCCUAACACAUGCAAGUCGAACGAACCUUUCGGGGUUAGUGGCGGACGGGUGAGUAACACGUGGGAACGUGCCUUUAGGUUCGGAAUAACUCAGGGAAACUUGUGCUAAUACCGAAUGUGCCCUUCGGGGGAAAGAUUAAUCGCCUUUAGAGCGGCCCGCGUCUGAUUAGCUAGUUGGUUGAGGUAAUGGCUCACCAAGGCGACGAUCAGUAGCUGGUCUGAGAGGAUGCUCAGCCACAUUGGGACUGAGACACGGCCCAAACUCCUACGGGAGGCAGCAGUGGGGAAUCUUGCGCAAUGGGCGAAAGCCUGACGCAGCCAUGCCGCGUGAAUGAUGAAGGUCUUAGGAUUGUAAAAUUCUUUCACCGGGGACGAUAAUGACGGUACCCGGAGAAGAAGCCCCGGCUAACUUCGUG
rnacentral:rRNA from 1 species